rnacentral:rRNA from 1 species
UACCAGCACCCCGAGUGGUCGGGACGAUUAUUGGGCCUAAAGCAUCCGUAGCCGGUCCUACAAGUCUUCCGUUAAAUCCACCUGCUUAACAGAUGGGCCGCGGAGGAUACUAUAAGACUAGGAGGCAGGAGAGGCAAGCGGUACUCAGUGGGUAGGGGUAAAAAUCCGUUGAUCCAUUGAAGACCACCAGUGGCGAAGGCGGCUUGCCAGAAUGCGCUCGACGGUGAGGGAUGAAAGCUGGGGGAGCAAACCGG